rnacentral:rRNA from 1 species
CGCGUAGGCGGUCAUGUAAGCCUUGUGUGAAAUCCCUCGGCUCAACUGGGGAACUGCACAGGAUACUGCUUGGCUUGAGUUCGGGAGAGGGAAGCGGAAUUCCGGGUGUAGCGGUGAAAUGCGCAGAUAUCCGGAGGAACACCGGUGGCGAAGGCGGCUUCCUGGACCGAAACUGACGCUGAGGCGCGAAAGCUAGGGGAGCAAACG